rnacentral:lncRNA from 1 species
CGGCGACGCUGGGUUCGAACAGCGGCGGGUUCAUACUUGUCAGCAGAUUAGGAGGAGACUCUGGGUUCGUACGCCGACUGAGGCUUCUCCUUGAUGGGCUCCGGGCCCCGAAGUCUGGGGGCAGUACGGGGCCGGGGACAUGCAGGAAAGGGCCCUGGACCACUACAAAGCCGCAAAGAAAAAUUAGACUUGUUUCAUUUUAUAACAACAACAACUGCUACUACUGCUACUAGUUAGAUACCGUUUGCUCAUUUAUAACAAUCUCAGUUGGUAGGAUGAAGCUUAAACACUUGGCAUUCAUCGUCUUUUUCAGUCCUCUCGCCAGUCUUACAGACUUGGACCUUCAGUUGUGAUGCUUAAUCAGAAUUUUUUUUGAGAUAGGGUCUCUCUUGGUUGCCCAGACUGGAGUGCAAGUGGCACGUUCAUAGCUCACUGCAGCUUUAAACUCCUGAACUCAAACGAUCCUCCCGCCUCUGCCUCCUGAGUAGCUGAGAACACAGGUGCAAGACACCACGCCCAGCUAAUUAUUUUUUGUAGAGACGGGGUUUUGUCAUGUUGCCCGGGCUGGUCUCGAACUCCUGGGUUCAAGCGAUCUUCCUGCCUCGCCCUCCCAAAGUGCUUUACAUGACUGAGCCUCCGCGCCCAGCCAGACUUGUUUCUCAAGUGACUUCUUCUGGCCAUUUUCACAACUCAUUCCAAAGAUGUGCAGCAUAUUCUCAAAGCAUUUCCAAAUAAGCUCCAAGAAAUGUUUUUGGUAAUGGAAGCAGAAAACAAGCCUGUAGCUCAUGACUACUUUGGAGGAAGAACAUUUGGAUUUGUAAAUUUAGUGUGUUAAAAAAAUCACUUAUCACAGAUGUUUGGAAUCUUCCCACUGAUUUCUGCAUGGCUGCUUAUUUUUCUUCCCUUAAGUCUCAGUUCAUGUCACAGAGGGCUUCCCUGACCUCUCACACCUCACCACCAUCAACCUGUUUUCUCCAUAGCACCUAUCACAGUCUGAAUUGUCUUAUUAUGGCCUUACCUAUCCCUAACACCCAUUUAAAAAUGUAAGCAUGAAAGAAGGAACGUUGUCUAUCUUGUUCAUUGCUGAAUCCCCAGUGCCUAGAAUAGUACCAAUAAAUACUUGUUAAAUGAG